UACGAAGGGGGCUAGCGUUGUUCGGAAUUACUGGGCGUAAAGCGCGCGCAGGCGGUCCUUCAAGUCAGAGGUGAAAGCCCAGAGCUCAACUCUGGAACGGCCUUUGAAACUAGAGGACUUGGGUACGGGAGAGGUGAGUGGAAUUCCGAGUGUAGAGGUGAAAUUCGUAGAUAUUCUGAAGAACACCAGUGGCGAAGGCGGCUCACUGGCCCGUUACCGACGCUCAGGCGCGACAGCGUGGGGAGCAAACAGG
rnacentral:rRNA from 1 species